rnacentral:rRNA from 1 species
UACGUAGGGUGCAAGCGUUAAUCGGAAUGACUGGGCGUAAAGGGUGCGCAGGCGGUCUGUUAAGACAGAGGUGAAAUCCCCGGGCUUAACCUGGGAAUGGCAUUUGGGACUGCAAGGCUUGAGUGCGGCAGAGGAGACUGAAAUUCCUGGUGUAGCAGUGAAAUGCGUAGAUAUCAGGAGGAACACCGAUGGCGAAGGCAGGUCUCUGGGCUGACACUGACGCUCAUGCACGAAAGCGUGGGGAGCAAACAGG